rnacentral:rRNA from 1 species
UACGGAGGGUGCAAGCGUUAAUCGGAAUUACUGGGCGUAAAGCGCACGCAGGCGGUCUGUCAAGUCGGAUGUGAAAUCCCCGGGCUCAACCUGGGAACUGCAUUCGAAACUGGCAGGCUAGAGUCUUGUAGAGGGGGGUAGAAUUCCAGGUGUAGCGGUGAAAUGCGUAGAGAUCUGGAGGACUACCGGUGGCGAAGGCGGCCCCCUGAACAAAGACUGACGCUCAGGUGCGAAAGCGUGGGGAGCAAACAGGAUUAGAUACCCUGGUAGUCCACGCCGUAAACGAUGUCGAUUUGGAGGUUGUGCCCUUGAGGCGUGGCUUCCGGAGCGAACGCGUUAAAUCGACCGCCUGGGGAGUACGGCCGCAAGGUUAAA